rnacentral:tRNA from 1 species
GGGCCGUUAGCUCAGUUGGAUAGAGCGCGAACCCUCUAAGUUCGUGGUCGCCGGUUCGAGCCCGGCACGGCCCG